UUCAUUAAGCAUUAAACAUCUAUCUUAAAAUGUAAAAUAUAUAAUAUACGUAAAUACUCAAUUUAAAAAAAUGGAUGAUAUUUUAAAAUAAAAAAUAUAGAUAUUACGUAAAUAAAAAAUAUAAGAAAUGGAAAUAAACAUUUUAAAAAAUGGAAAAAGUACAUUAAGAUUUAAACAUCUAUCUUAAAAUGUACAUUUAUCUUAAAAUGGUAGUAAAUUAUAUAAAAAUGGAAAUACCACAUUAAACAAAAAAAAUGUAUAGUUUUAUAUCAAGAAAGUCCCUAUAAAAUUCAUUAUUCCAUCAACAUCUACCUCACACUAUCAAGGAAAACUUCAAAGCACUGGAGCAAAAUAAUGGUUCCACCAUCAACUCUUGUCGUCCCAAAAACCUUUAAUGACCUUGAAGGAGAUUUUUUAUAAC
rnacentral:lncRNA from 1 species